rnacentral:rRNA from 1 species
UACGGAAGGUAGCAGUGGGGAAUAUUGCACAAUGGGCGCAAGCCUGAUGCAGCCAUGCCGCGUGUAUGAAAAAGGCCUUCGGGUUGUAAAGUACUUUCAGUCGUGAGGAAGGUGUUAAGGUUAAUAACCUUAGCAAUUGACGUUAGCGACAGAAGAAGCACCGGCUAACUCCGUGCCAGCAGCCGCGGUAAUACGGAGGGUGCGAGCGUUAAUCGGAAUUACUGGGCGUAAAGGGCACGCAGGCGGUUAAUUAAGUUGGAUGUGAAAUCCCCGGGCUUAACCUGGGAAUGGCAUUCAAGACUGGUUAGCUAGAGUCUUGUAGAGGGGGUAGAAUUCCAUGUGUAGCGGUGAAAUGCGUAGAGAUGUGGAGGAAUACCGGUGGCGAAGGCGGCCCCUGGACAAGACUGACGCUCAUGUGCGAAAGCGUGGGGAGCGAAACAGGGAUUAGAUACC